GACCAUCAUUAUUAGUAAUGAAAGAAUGUAAAGAGUUACUCCUGUGCUAGAGGUGCUGGGUUUGCGCAUAAGUGGCCAUUGGUACCCACAGCAAAAGAUGUAGAGAGAAUCACAAAGCGUGCAUCUGCGCAUCACUAUCAGUGUGUGCGUACAGAGCAAUUGAUGAUAAGCUCAUGAUGCUGGAUUAAACAGAUGGCAUAAUCAAGAUACUUACCAGAAUCUUUCUUAUGGGUUUCGAAUAAGGCUUUGGUGGCGAAGUGAGCCUCCACAUUUUCAUUAAUCCAUUUGUCGAGCUUGCUCCGAAUAGGCUCGGAGAGAAUAUUCAACUCUUCACUGGUGAGAAUGCGUGACAACAUUGUGUCACUUUACGUCAAUUUCACAGCACAUGGAAAUGAAAUGAUGAUUAGGAGAAAAAAUCUAUUAUCUAAAUAUAACGUGAAAGAUUUCCGGAAACUCAAUUGAGCGGCAAGAUCGUGGGAUAUCAGAAUAUCAGAUCAGAAUUUCAAGAAAGCAGAAAACGUUUUCUUCAGGGGUGCCAUCUUGAGUUACGUCAUAAAACCAACCAAUGAGAGAACAGAGUUGUUUGUUUACAUUCCUGACGUCACGAACGCUUGGCAGCGCUAGUGAUGGUCGGUCCGUAAAUUCCGAAACAUGUCGACUGCCUCGCAAAAUUAAAACUAAGUUUCGAAACGAGUUAAAAAUCUUUCUACUUUGAUAUCUGAAUGAUUUUUUGUAACCGCGCCUUGUUUUACAUUUAGGUUUUAAUUAUAACGUAAGUUUGCACGUUUUAGACGCGUAUUAUUGCGAUGAAGUAGUGUGGAAUACUUGGCACGAAGGAUCAAAAGGGACAUCAAACACUUCAAACAGGUCUACAAAGGGCCAGAUUAAUGAUUUUUGUACCCCUGGGCGGAGCUUGAGAAGCAUUGCAAUGUCCUCGCUUUGCCCUAAGGCAUAUAACAAUAUCACCUUGCUUUUGCCGCCUAUCAUGAGCACUGCUGAUAAAUCAACCUUGCCUUCAGCCGUUGCCAGCCGUUCGACACACCACUCUCUUAGCAGUAAUUCAGCUCGACCUUCAGUUAUUUCUGGUGAAGAUUUAAAAAGUAGCGAAGAAGAGUCGACAUGGGUACCGGAACUGCCCCCCGUCCUCGGCAAUUAGCCAUGAGCUCCAAAGAUAUAUCAGGUAAUUUUAGUUUCUAAGUCUUGACAGCACUCAGGUAAACAAGAAUUUGAUAGCAAAAAGGUAGCGAACCAGCUAGAGAAUCCUGAAAUGCCUAUUUAUCUACU
rnacentral:lncRNA from 1 species